rnacentral:ncRNA from 1 species
ACGAGAAAGCCAAACCUGCCGCGAGGCUGGGACGGAAAGCCACGGGUCUCAUGUGAGACAGCCGGGUUGCCAA